CGAACACGCCAGCCGUCUUAAACAAACGCAAUUCGAUCAUUCUUUUGAACUUCAAAAACAUCCAACACAAGGACGAAAGCGCGCUACUACAAAAAUCCGAAAUUUUGGUCCAGCGCUUCCAGUUAACUCUGAGAAGAUGCUCGAUUCGUACCAUACAAGUCAUAUAAGCCGAGAACCUAUCGCGGACUUUAAAUCGGUACGAGUCAGGAAGAAAUCGCAACAGGAAAAAUGAUAGCCGGCUAGUCACCGCACAAACCUUAACCGAAAGUAAACCUAGGUCUUGCCCUAAACCCAACGCUCUGGUCUCAAACAUCUCAAGACAUGAUAUUUAAAAGAUACGAGAUCCUAAAACCAUGUCUCUCCGUUUGCAUCUCGAUGUUCCCGAAAAUCGUAAAGAUAGGUAAUUUUUUACGAGAAUCACGAACGAACUAACAGAUCGAACGUCUAAUCGGAAUUAAAUGCGAGACGACAACUCAUAUUUACUUUGACCCUAUUCAGGAAAAUUCGAAACGGAACAUUCAUCAUAUAAAUAACCCCGUAAAGCGGUAAGGGAUUCAAAGCCACCAACGGCCAGUCCCGAUAAACAAUAAAAAUGGCCAAAAUAGGCCCAUACAAAUCUCUCGUCCACACUCGGCCACAGACAUAAAAUACAAAGACGAGCAUCUUUCUUUCGAUAACUACUCCACCUC
rnacentral:lncRNA from 1 species